rnacentral:tRNA from 1 species
GGUCCCGUAGUUCAACGGAUAGAAUAGAAGUUUCCUAAACUUUAGAUGUGGGUUCGAUUCCCGCCGGGACCAC